rnacentral:rRNA from 1 species
AUUGAACGCUGGCGGCAGGCUUAACACAUGCAAGUCGAGCGGGGUGAUGGUGCUUGCACUAUCACUUAGCGGCGGACGGGUGAGUAAUGCUUAGGAAUCUGCCUAUUAGUGGGGGACAACAUUUCGAAAGGAAUGCUAAUACCGCAUACGUCCUACGGGAGAAAGCAGGGGAUCUUCGGACCUUGCGCUAAUAGAUGAGCCUAAGUCGGAUUAGCGAGUUGGUGGGGUAAAGGCCUACCAAGGCGACGAUCUGUAGCGGGUCUGAGAGGAUGAUCCGCCACACUGGGACUGAGACACGGCCCAAACUCCUACGGGAGGCAGCAGUGGGGAAUAUUGGACAAUGGGGGAACCCUGAUCCAGCCAUGCCGCGUGUGUGAAGAAGGCCUUUUGGUUGUAAAGCACUUUAAGCGAGGAGGAGGCUACCGAGAUUAAUACUCUUGGAUAGUGGACGUUACUCGCAGAAUAAGCACCGGCUAACUCUGUGCCAGCAGCCGCAGUAAGAC